CCCAAAAGACGUCUCUCAGUUCAGAUUGCAGNCUNCAACUUCNCCUGUAUGAAGCUGGAAUCGCUAGUAAUCGUAUAUCAGCAAUGANAGGGUGAAUACGUUCCCGGACCUUGUACACACCGCCCGUCAAGCCAUGGAAGCUGGGUGUACCUAAAGUCGAUAACCGCAAGGAGUCGCCUAGGGUAAAACUAGUAACUGGGGCUUAGUCGUAACGAGUUAACC
rnacentral:rRNA from 1 species